rnacentral:rRNA from 1 species
CUUGGGCGUCAGCCUGAGUGGAGUCAUCCUUGGGAUACCACCCUGACAGUACUGGGGUUCUAACCGGCGGCCAUGAAUCUGGUCACGGGACAUUGUUAGGUGGGCAGUUUGACUGGGGCGGGCGCCUCCUAAAAAGUAACGGAGGCGCCCAAAAGUUCCCUCAGCGCGGUCGGAAAUCGCGCGAAGAGUGCAAAGGCAGAAGGGAGCUUGACUGCGACACAUACAGGUGGAGCAGGGACGAAAGUCGGG